AUGGCGGGCAAGUUGGAAGACAAGAGGGCGAGGCAUUUUGUAUUUGGAAUUGAUAUGUUUUAGAACAAUUUGACUGCAAACUUUAGUKCCGUAAAACGCUUAAUGAAGGAGGAUUAAGGAUAACAGUCGUUGAAGCAGCAAYGUGGAAUAUUAUCUGAAAACAAAUGUGCAAAUGUUACAAUUAAAAGGGGUCAAUCACUAGCGAGCAAAACGAAAAAUCAAGGCUAGUGCAUCCUUGGAAGGAAAUCAAUAAUAAUGAAUUAUAAAGCCAUCUUUCUGAGCUUAACUAUUUCUACUUGUGUGGUUGUAUUUAUCCUUGGCUCCAAAUAUAAUGUUCAUCAUAUGAUUUUAAGAAAAACAUGUCCUACAUGUAGUGGGGAAAAUUCUUACCUUUGUCCAUCCACUAACUGGACAAACGCUGCUGCAGUUCCAUAUAUUGACGUCAAGAAAGACAUUUCCAGGAAAUUAGCUGUGAUUUACCAGGAACUKAAAUCAGCUGCUGGUCACAAGWURCCACCAACACCAAAACUACUCCUUGAACUCAAAGGAAUAAUAGGUGAACUUGAUCCAGCAUACAGACUCAGUCAAGAUGAUAAAGAACCUGUUGAACCGAAGACCACAAAUGGUUCUGUAUUGCUAGAUGUUUGCCCUGAGAAAUACAUGGGGGAGAAAUUUGGUUAUCCAUUUUWCGAAAAAGGAUGGGUGAUGCAAAACUGUGCCAAUGUGAAACCGCUUGACAAGGUUUGUUUUGUAUGAAAAUGGUGGAAACUAGCAAGUGUGAGCUGCGUCGGUGUUUCUGAAGAAACAGUAGAAUUAAAAGAUAGUUGUUUUAAGGUGUUAAAAUUUAUCUUUUUACACA